UACGUAGGGGGCUAGCGUUGUCCGGAAUCAUUGGGCGUAAAGAGCGUGUAGGCGGCUCGGUAAGUCCGCUGUGAAAGUCCAGGGCUCAACCCUGGAAUGCCAGUGGAAACUGUCGAGCUAGAGUCCGGAAGAGGCGAGUGGAAUUCCUGGUGUAGCGGUGAAAUGCGCAGAUAUCAGGAGGAACACCAACGGCGAAGGCAGCUCGCUGGGACGGUACUGACGCUGAGACGCGAAAGCGUGGGGAGCAAACAGG
rnacentral:rRNA from 1 species